ACUUUACAAUGCGGGACACCGCGAUAAGGGGACCUCGAGUGCUGGCAUACAAUGCUGGCUGUCCAGCUGCCUAAAUAGCAGUUGAUAGCAAGGGCCGGGCAAGACCGGUGCCAGCCGCCGCGGUAACACCGGCGGCUCGAGUGGUAACCGCUAUUAUUGGGUCUAAAGGGUCUGUAGCCUGCAGGUUAAGUCUCUUGGUAAAUCCGGCAGCUCAACUGUCGGGGUUCAGGGGAUACUGGUCUGCUCGGGACCGGGAGAGGUGAGAGGUACCUCAGGGGUAGGGGUGAAAUCUUGUAAUCCUUGAGGGACCACCAGUGGCGAAGGCGUCUCACCAGAACGGGUCCGACGGCAAGGGACGAAAGCUAGGGGCACGAACCGG
rnacentral:rRNA from 1 species